GUCUGGAGCUGCACCACCUAGAGUUGUGAUCUUAUCAGAUUUCCCAUGCUAAGCAGGGCUAGGUCUGGUAGUACUUGGAUGGGAAACCUGCAAGGUAAAUGCAGGCUCCAGCAG
rnacentral:rRNA from 1 species